AGUGAACGCUGGCGGUAGGCCUAACACAUGCAAGUCGAACGGCAGCACAGUAAGAGCUUGCUCUUACGGGUGGCGAGUGGCGGACGGGUGAGGAAUACAUCGGAAUCUACUUUUUCGUGGGGGAUAACGUAGGGAAACUUACGCUAAUACCGCAUACGACCUACGGGUGAAAGCAGUGGAUCUUCGGACCUUGCGCGAUUGAAUGAGCCGAUGUCGGAUUAGCUAGUUGGCGGGGUAAAGGCCCACCAAGGCGACGAUCCGUAGCUGGUCUGAGAGGAUGAUCAGCCACACUGGAACUGAGACACGGUCCAGACUCCUACGGGAGGCAGCAGUGGGGAAUAUUGGACAAUGGGCGCAAGCCUGAUCCAGCCAUACCGCGUGGGUGAAGAAGGCCUUCGGGUUGUAAAGCCCUUUUGUUGGGGAAGAAAAGCAGCAGGUUAAUACCACGCUGUUCUGACGGUACCCAAAGAAUAAGCACCGGCUAACUUCGUG
rnacentral:rRNA from 1 species